AAUAGCUGACAAGGGACUAGAAUAAAAUCAGCUAUUUUACAUCUGAUGCAUUGACCAAGGUGGAAUGUGGAUUCAGUGAAGCUAGAAAGACAGGAUUUCAAGGAGCCAGUGCAAAUUGGUGAAGUUAGAGGGGAAAAAAGAGCCGGUGCAAAUUGGUGAAACUAGAGGAAAAAGAAUCACGGAAAACAAGAUCAAGCAAGAAAUUUUUGAAAGAAUAGAUUAGAGGCUUCUAGAUCAAGAUUCCUUUGUGAAAGGCAGAAGUGGAAAAAUGAGUGAAGACAGCAAUAAUUUAACCUGUAGUUGGAGUGAGUUGUAGCUAGCGUCUAUAUUGCUGUAACCCUACCCAAAUUGGGGAAGUCGUGAGCCUGGUGGAGCGACAAGCAUCUCUGGUGACAGUGAAGUGUGUGUCUUAGAUCCUAGAGCCAGACGACUGGAGAGGUGACAAUGUAAAGGAUAAAAGAGAACCAGUAAUCAGGAUAAAACCUCUAUUGUAUUGAUGAUGGCAGUGGUUUAGAAAUGUGAUUGACCGGUAUUGCAGCUGUAGAUAUCAAUUGAAGUGUGUGAAGAAACGGGCCAGACAGAGGGAAAUGCAAGUUAAUUAUAUUCUAUUUUUAUAAGUUUGGAUUCUUCAUAAAGUAGUUUACACAUUUUAAUUAUCAAACUAUAAAGAUACUACUUUUUUUUGGGAGAGGGAAACAUUUUUGUGUAUGUUGAAAAGGGUGGUGGUGGGUAGGGGUAAAAACAAGCUUGUUUCUAGACUCUUUGCAGAUACUAUAGUUCCUAUUGGCUUGGUUAGAAGUGUGGUGGUUCUAUCUACUGUGCUGUUGGGAGAACAUUCCCCAGAGUCGGAGCAGCUUUUGCCUUGGAAGAAAGGACAGUUUACCUAAAAUGGAGUUGGAAAGUUGGAUUGGAGCUUAUAUUCAGGAUUCAUGGUCGUUCAGUCAUCCUCUAAGGCGAAUUUAAGAAGAGCUUGGCUAGUCCAGAACUUGAAAGAGACUUCAGAGAGAAAGAAGUUGCUUAAUGACCCUGGUGUGAUUCCUUCUGAUGGUAGCUUGUGUAUUUUUCAAACAUUUUUCAGAUCCGCCAUCAGAAUCAUAGCUGCCAUCAGAAUCAUAGCCCCAACGAGCCCUGAGAAAAUAUGGCCUCAUAAAUGCAGAGGGAACAGCUUGGCGAAUGAUAAGUAA
rnacentral:lncRNA from 1 species